AAAUGCCUGCAGGAACAGCACAGAGGCAUUAAGGAAAGAAAACUGAUGUUUCAUGAAAAAUAAUAGAGAUAUGAAAUUGGAAAGACCCCAGAAAGCUCAACCAGCAGUGCCCUCACACAAGAGCCUGGCAGAGUCUUGGCUGGCACCAUGAAGGGCCAAGGGCUGGCAGGUUCUUCCAGUGACACUGAGCUCUACGGAACAGUGUCCCCAGCCGCCCCAAAUGCUCACCCCACAGAAACACUGACUGGCCAUCUUUUCCUGCUCUGGGGUGCCACACCUUCCCCUCCCACAAUCUACAGAGCCUGGCUCAACAUCCAGCACCCUGCCACGCACAAGCCAGUACUGCCAGUACUUUUCUGUGUCUCAGCAAGCAGAAACAAGGACACUGUGAUAAGAAGUACCCAUCUUCUCCAACUGCAUACACAGCUACCCAAAAGGAAGGAAUGGAAGAGAUAAAAAGCUGUUGGAGUUU